UUGCCUGUAGUGGCGAUAGCUGAUGUAGCCAAUGGCACUAGCAGUCCAAAAGAGGACGAUGGGGAUGCCGAGCUCCUUUGCGGCGUCCAGCGUGAAGCUCAUGACGGCAUCGGAGACGACGCAGGUUACCUUCGGGACGCCCGAUGACGGGUCGUUGAGCUCCGCGAGGAGUUUGCGGAAGUGGGGGAGGCAGUUGGUCAUGGUGGACCGGCAGAGGGAGGGGACGUCCUGCGUCUUAUCCUCAUCCGAGAAGGGGAGGCCGUCGGGUAUGGUGGCGAAUCGGAAGUCGGGGAGGCCAUCGAGAGCGGCCGGGCCCUGUGACCGGAGAAGGCGGCGGUGGUUGUACUCGGUGUUGACGAAGGUGAUGUGGAAUCCAUGGAGGGAGUGGAGGAGCUUAGCCACCUUCAACACGGGCGUCACGUGGCCCUGCGCGGGGUAGGGGAUGCACACUGCAUGGGGCUUAUGAUCAGAUCCCACAGAACCCAUCUCUCUAUCUCUAACCGGGAUAUUUUUUGGAGGGGGUUGCUUUGUGUGGCUUAGAAAUUAAGGAGCUUCUUGGCUCUAUAUAUAUAGGGGGUGGGAUGUUAUAUAUCUUUCGUCGUGUUGGAGCUCCAAUUACAUAUUGGCCCCACGAUUGCAAGUAAGUUUGCAAUUAAUAGUAGCUAAAUGCCCAAGGAGACUUCGAGGAACCGCUCUUAACUUUGUGGAGGGCCGGCAGGAUAGCCCAGUUGCAUGUGCAUAUAUAUGUCGUGUAUAACACUUAUAUUAUAUUAUUUAUUUUAAAUUAGUUAUAUUUUUUAUUUUUAUAUUAUUCUACAAUAAAAAUAUUUUUUAAAAAAUAAUAAUGACGCAUGAAAAUUUUACGAUUGAUUGGAGGCAUCACAUCAGCAAUUUAACUUCUAAAUUUUUUUUUGACUCAGAGUCGUAAAUUGUAAAUUGAAUGUACAUGUACCAUUCAUGUAGCUUUCAAAUUUAUAUUCUUUGCACAACUUGUAGAAGAUGAAACAAUCAUAAGUUGGGGGACUAAUUCUUGUCUAUGGGGCGAAAUAAUAGUAAAGUGAUUAGUCCCGUCAAUUAACUCACUUAUUCCAAAGAGUAUUGCGUGCACCGAUGAUCACCAUGUUAGCAGGCAACCAUUGUACUACUUCCACAUAAUAAAUACAGUUUAAUUAAAAUUUAGAAGUAAAUCCGGAUAGUUCAGAAAUGAUUCAAGAUAGAAUUUGAUAUAUAUAUAUACACGCAUAAUAGCCAACACUUAAUGAGGAGGGCUACUGUACUAUUAGGAGCACGACAGUACUUGUACUCUUAAGUUUCUGACCAUCGAUCAAUUUUGAUGGGUUGUUAGGAUAAUAGGAAAAGAGUAAUUUGAAAAAAAAUUCAAAAAGAAGAGAAAUUCAGAUGCCCAAUUUUUUUUAAUUUUUCUUCUCUUUCUCAUCCUAGCCAUCCUUUAAAAUUAAUAGAUGGGUAGAAAUAUAAGAGCACAAGAGCUAUUGUAUUCCUUAAUUGUGUUCUAAAAUUAUGCUUAGUUUGGGAACUAAACUCUAGUAAAUGACUUUUGUUAUUUAAGAAAAUAAAAAAUAUUUUUAUAAGAUGGAAGUUAUAAAUUUACAUUUGAAUGUAUUCAAGAAUAUUCUAAAGAAUAUCCUUAAUAUAGUUGGGAUGAAAAAUCUAAAACAAUAUCUAUACAUUUUUAAAAAUACAAUAUUUUGUAUAGAAGAUUAUACAUAACAUACAUUAAAAAUUAAUGUAAUGUAAAUUUAAUAAUAUUAAUGAAAAAUCUUAUAAUAUAAAUUAUUCUCCAUAAAGUUAUUUUUACUAUUUUUUAUAUAAUACAUUAUAUAUAAUAUUUAAUAAAGAGUAAAAUAAUAUAAUAACAAUAUAUGUAAAACAACUUAAUAAAUAAAAUAAAAUAAUAUAUCACAUUUACUGUAAUUUAUAUUUUAUAAUAGUGGAUAAGUAAAGCUAUAUUAUAACAAAAUUAAUAUUUAUAUUAGUAAUUAUUUAUUUAUCCAUUUAUAUAAUAAAAAAUAAAGAGACUAACAAUUUUGUUACUAGUUCCAUAGAGAAUAACUUUUAACCAAUUUGUUCAAAGAUAAUUAGUUUUGAUGGGAACAACUAGUUUCUGCCUCUUUAGCUAGUAUUUGGGUACAAAGUUGGGAUUUUUUUUUGUUCCGGGGAUAUAAAAUAUAUUAACGAUUUUUUAUGCAUUAUAUUAUCAACUAUUUCAGAUAUUUUAUAAAAAUUGUGUUCAUGAGAAUUGAUUUGUACGGCGUUGUGCAAUAAUGCAAUAAUAACAAUGUUCAUCCUAUAUCCAAUUUUAUUAUAGUUGCAUAUAUAAUGGAACAUGAACGCUGGACCGCGAUGGCUAUGACGACGUAAGUGUUACAAGAAUUGAAGAGAACAAGAAGGAAAAGUGUGUCGGGGCGAAGACGCUUGCUGCGGCCGCAAGGGAGGGGGCACGACAAUGGACAAAGAUGCAGAGCAUGAAAAAAAAAAAAAUAAUAAAACUAAAAAAUAAUAUAGCAUCUAAGAUUCGACAUAUCUCAAUAUAUGAGAUAUAAUAGAUCGAGUUAAAUCUUGUAGUCCGAUUAUAGCAUAUUGGGUGGUGAUUAAGUCCAAUAAAUUAAAAGUAGAGUAAGAAUAAUUCUUUAAAUUGAUGACUCCCUAGGGAGAAAAAAUAAAAGUUUGACAUAUUGUUGGGCGAUAGUUAUGUCCAAAAAGUUAAUAAAGGAGAUGUGAGAUAUAAUGAUGUAGUUGGUUGACUAAAAAAGUUGAAAAAGAGAUAAAAUAUAAUAAAAUUAAAUCUCUUAACUUAGCUAUCGUACUUUAUCUUCAUGUGCUCUUUUCUUUUAUCUUUCUUAGAUUCUACGGCACCUUUGUCACCAUCGUCGCCGACGGCCAUGCCCUCUGCCACAGCUUCACCUUUGUGAUUUGCAUAUCUGAGUCCGUGUUAUUAUCGCUGGAGUUAACAGAGAUGUGAAAAAGGUAAAAGAGAAGCACAGCGUACGUCAACGUGGGAGUAGCAGGUGGGGAGGAGGAAGAGGGAUAAAAAGAGGUUGGACAAACAGAAUAAGAUAGAAAAGGAGGAUGAAUGGGGGAGAAAGACGAGCAACUAAGAGAAAGGAGAGAAAAAUACUAAUAAUAAUAAUUUAGUUAGUUUACUAAAAAUUUAAAUUUAAUAUAUAAAAUUUUAAAAAAUAAUAUAUUUUAAUAAAAAUAUAAAAUUAAUAAAAUUUUUAUGUAAAUUACUAUGACAUUGCACAUGGCACCUUACAAAACUGCAUAUCUAGACAACAUCUUUCUUAGAAAGCAGCACUUGGCUAACCAACUUGUCGAAAUUUGCAAAAGAGGGACCACCCUCCUGCGUCGCCUUCGCCGCCAUGUCCUUCCACUCCAUGGCCCUCCUCUUCAUCUCCUUCCCCUUCUCCCCUCCCAUGAUUUCUCUUAUCAACCCCUCCACCUCCUUUCUCUUCACAUCACCAUCAAUCUCCAUCCCGAUCCCCCACUCUGCGCAUGUGUACCUGCCGAACACGAAAGAUUAAUUAAAAUCAAUUUAUAUGAAUUUUUUAAAACAUUUAAAUUUUUAGAGUAAUACGAUUGUUUUGCAGUACCUGCAGUUGGUUUGCUGCUCUGCAAAGAAGGGCCAGCAUAGCAUCGGCACGCCACCGCACACGCUCUCCAGCGUGGAGUUCCACCCGCUGUGCGUCAGGAACGCGCCCACCGCGGGGUGGCAAAGCACUUCCUCCUGCGGGCACCAGUUCGCCAUGAGCCCCCUCUCCUUCGUCCCCUCUACAAACUCCGGCGGGAGCACCGCGGCGUCGCCCUUAACAAGGUCGGGUCUGAUGAUCCACAGAAACUCGUACUCGCUAUUCGCGAGCCCCCACGCGAACUCUAUCAGUUGCUGGUUCGUCAUGACCGUUAUGCUACCGAAAUUCACGUAGACAACGGACCCGGGCCUUUUGUUUUCCAACCAUUGUAAGCAAGCGGGCUCCUCCUUCCACAGGUUGGAGCCCACGGAGCUGAGUGGGCCGUGGGGGAUGCGUCGGGCGAGGAGGGAGAGGGGGCCGAUGGUGUAGAUGGGCGGCACGAUAGCCGCCAUGGCUUCGAGCGCCGGGCGCUCGAAAUCGUCGAACGUGUUGAGGAGGACAGCAGACGCCAUGGGGGUGCGCUCCGUCUCGUGCAGGACGAAGUGCACCAUGAACUCGUCGGGGUCCAGCGUUCGAAUGAAGCUCGGGAAGUCUCGUAGUCUCAUGUUCGGCGCUCCCGGUACCCAAUCGAUCGGUGUUUCGAGAUACCCAUCAGUUAGCUGACCCACAUCUGCUCAAAAAAAAAAAAGAAAAAAAAAGAAAAAAAAAAAGAAAGAAAGAACUGUCAAUAUCUAUUCACUUACUAAAGCAGAAGAAGCAGAACCAAACAGGUCUGAAAUUAAGCGUGCUGUACCUUUAAGCGGAACGAUACCCUUCUCCAUGAGGUGCCUGUAGUGGCGAUAGCUGAUAUAGCCAAUGGCACUAGCAGUCCAAAAGACGACGUCGGGGAUGCCGAGCUCCUUCGCGGCGUCCAGCGUGAAGCUCAUGACAGCGUCGGAGACGACGCAGGUCACCUUCGGGCGGCCGGACAACGGGUCGUUGAGCUCCGCGAGGAGUUUGCGGAAGUGGGGGAGGCAGGUGGUCAUGGUGGACCGGCAGAGGGAGGGGAUAUCCUGCGUGCUGUCGUCGUCGG
rnacentral:lncRNA from 1 species